UUAGGAAAUUUUCCCAAUGGGCGCAAGCCUGAGGGAGUAACGCCGCGUGGAGGAUGACGGCCUUCGGGUUGUAAACUCCUUUUCUGUGGGACGAGAAGAAGACGGUACCGCAGGAAGAAGCCUCGGCUAACUACGUGCCAGCAGCCGCGGUAAUACGUAGGAGGCGAGCGUUGUCCGGAAUUACUGGGCGUAAAGAGCGCGUAGGCGGCGCAGUACGACCGCUGUGAAAGCCCCCGGGCUCAACUGGGGAGGUCAGCGGUAACGGCUGUGCUGAGAGUGCAGGAGAGGGAAGUGGAACUCCGGGAGUAGCGGUGAAAUGCGCAGAGACCCGGAGGAACACCAGUGGCGAAGGCGGCUUCCUGGCCUGCAACUGACGCUGUGGCGCGAAAGCUAGGGGAGCGAACGGGAUUAGAUACCCCGGUAGUCCUAGCCGUAAACGAUGGACACUAGGUGUGCGUGGUAUCGACCCCACGCGUGCCGGAGCAAACGCAGUAAGUGUCCCGCUGGGGA
rnacentral:rRNA from 1 species